rnacentral:pre_miRNA from 1 species
UGUCUAUGUCUGUGUCUAAUCUACUGACUCCUUGUGGUUUUCAUUGUCUAUGUCUGUGUCUAAUCUACUAACAUAGACAAUGAAAACCACAAGGAGUCAGUAGAUUAGACACAGACAUAGACA